rnacentral:lncRNA from 1 species
AUGGGCGAUUCUCAGCCACUGUGUGGUCUCCCAGCGCUGCCCAAAUGGAUACGCUGGCGUUCAUCAUGUCCUGUGGCACCACGGUGCCCUCUGAGCCUUGACACCGGCUGCUGCUGGGACCUGCCAUCUCUCACUCUGCAUCCCAGCCAAUGCAGAAUGCCAAGGCCCUGUCCUCCAGGAGCCUCAUAUCAGCUUGCUGUAAGCGUCUCCCCUCCUGUUGCACCUUGCUCUGUCUUACGACCAACAAAGAAAUGUUUCUUUGCAGAUAUUAGCCUGAUCAUUCUCUCAGCAUUCACUCGCAUACCUCCUCCUCGCUGGUUUCCAGACAACCUCCGGGGUCAGAGCCCAACACUGCCUUCUGCCACACAAGGGCUUCGUGCAGAACCACACUCAUCAUCAUUGCACUGUAAGCUAAUGAAUGUCUGGGGGCCUCUCCCAAAUGUUACCCAGACAGGGGGAAAUCCUAGCACAGACAUAGCUGAGACUUAAGUAGGGCACCCCUUCCCUCUCCCUGAACCAUCUACCGCCCCCCCCCCCCACACUCUAAUAUCACUUGGCUUGUUCUGAAACUUAUCAUGACUCAACUGACCUUUUUUUAACUGGCUUUUUGGUUAAUCUUCAAGCUCCUUUCUUUCUGGAGCGAUUCCUAAAUCUAGGUUCUGGACGAGUGCACACCAGAGCAUCUGCACAGCCCCCAGGCCUCCAUCCAGAGCUUCCAAAUUAGAAUCCCUUUGUGAGGACCCAGCAGCUUUUUUAGCAUUCUUCCCAGCGGGUGCCUCUGGCAAUGAGCUUUGGGAAGGGUUGUAUGGGAGCGCUCAGCUGACUGCAGCCCCAUCGGAGUGGGCCUUGCCUUCAUCAAAGAAUAUUCUAGAAUAUCGGCAUCUCUCAGCCUGCCCAGACUGCUGUCAUUGAGACGUGUCACGGGCCUCCUCCACAUCUGCUCUUUUUAACAGACUCUUUCCAACUCGGUUUGAACCAAAGCCUUAGCUGAUCACUCAUGUACAUGUGGCGCUAGGAGCAGGAGGGACACAGGGGUGAUUCGGAUAUUGUAGCUCGACCCCAGAUCCACAACCAUCAUACCCAGGGGUGGGAUUCAGGGAUCUUGGGAUGUGUGUUUGUGUGUGAGUGCUUGGAAAAUGCUGCAGGUUUGGGAACCUUAGCAAGAUUUAGCAAGCUGAUUUUUUUAAUGUAUAUAUGUCACUUCAUCAUAUAAUCAAAAAAUUUCUUCUUGAUAAAAUACUGCAAUUUUCAAAAACCAACUAGCUUUGAAGUGCAUCAGAAAGUAAGAUGAAUUGAUAGACGAGGAACAGAAUGGAUAAAUGGAUAGUUAAUAAAAAAAAAAAAGGCUAACUGUAGAAUCUAGGU